GUGUUUUUUUGUUGUUGUUGCUUUGCUUGUUUGUGUGCUUUGUGUUUUUUUUUUUUCUCCUCCCCGUUCUCACUCUUCUAUUAUGGCUUCUGCACUUCUAUCAUUGUAACUGAAGCACUCCAAAAUGAUGUAACAUGAUGAAGUUGGAGGUCAAUAUACGUACUGUACAGGUCAAUCUUCUGUACCUGGCAAAUAUUGGCCAUGUAUGUCUUUAGGAGACAAACCACAAGGAAGUAUGACUAACUUACAUGUCAGCUGCUUCUUCAUGACUCCUUCUGGUGGGAAAUGCUCCCUUGUUGUCCCCCAGUCAAGAGGACUGUCACAAGCAAGAGUCACUAGAAGCAGCAGCAGCAGCAUUUUUCCAGAAAAAUGAAAUUCUCUGGGAUCAGACUGGAUGGAACAAAGGCACCGGGGACCUUUCUAUUUACUUUAAAUGGA